rnacentral:lncRNA from 1 species
UGCUGAGGGGCGGCCCUGCGGGGGUUAGCUGAGGGAGGUUCGUUCCUGAGAGAAAAAGGCAGCCCCUGCUCAGCUGGUCGCAGCUCUCGUACCCGGGAGGCGGCACUUGCCGCCUUUUCCACGUGGUUGGUGAUGCAACUGGGCGUUAAACGGCUUUCGUGCCAACCUCUGGAAAGGCCGGUUUCGAGCUUGCCAAAACACACCGAGAUACGACCUUCGGCGCCUCCCCCACGCCGCUCUGUGCCGGGACUCCUCCCUACCCCCUUCAGGCAGCCCCUCCCGCGGAAGGUACCUGAGGGCCGCGCUGCGCUCCUCCCCGCGAGCCGAAGCGGCGAGGCCCGUCCUGUGAAAGGCGAGAGCCACCGCUGCCCCCAAGCUGUGGGGCCGCCUGCCGGCCUACAGAUCGCUUCCAUUGUGAUUCAUCCCAUUCGGAGAAGGUGGCACCUUCCGAUCCCCAUUUGCCCUUUUCACUGUCAUGGAGGGGUACGAGAACUGCCUCUGGCAGACAUUAAAGCGCUGCUGAUGGAACGCCUCAUCUCACAAGAGCACGAGAAGUCGCUCCCACCGCCCGGCCGCUUCUCUGCCCGCAGGCCCUGCGUGCCUUACAGCUGUAACUUCAACUGCAAGGUCCAGAGACAACAACCAGGUGCAGAAAAGAAAAGUUUUACCAGGAAAUAAUCACGCGUGGGGAGCCCACGGUGGUCUUCUUGCAAAACCUGCAGAAGAGCUCUCAGUGACUUCUCUUUUGCUUGUGGGGAUCACAGUCCCACAGUGCUGUUUGUUAGGACAGCACCUGAAAAGCUAUUUUAUUUUGUUUGAACGUAGGCUCGUGUAUAUUUUGCAACGCAAAUAACGUCUAAAAAAAAAAAAGUGGAGAAAAAGUAUUUAAAACAUUAAAUUCUCAGGCAGUGUGAGAUGAUGUGAGAUCACGGCUGAAAGAAGCCUCACUGCCACAAGGACUUUGUGAAUUUGGAAUAAGCUCACACUUCAGUUUUGAUUUGUGAUGAAUCUUAUUCAUGUAUUGGACGUUCUCUGCUGUGCUGUAUUCAUCAAUCUGAUAUGUCAAAUUUUAUAGAUAUCAAAAAUCCAUCCCGAUCUGCUGAAACCGGAGAAAGGAAAAACAAGCUGUGCUGAACAUGUCUCUCUGGUGUGUGAUAAAAAGUGAUAAGCUGACUUUCAUUGAAACUGUCAUGUUUUCAUCUGUUAGCUAUCAUUGGCUUUAUAUUGGUAAACUGCACCGAACCUAUCCCAUAGCAAAUUUAAUAUCAGCAAUCCGAGAGAUCAAUGUAUUUAAGACAUGGCCUAAGAAGAAGGCAAGGAGUAAAACUUACAUUUGUAUCAUUUUAAAAAUCAGACACCAUUUUUAUCUCUGCAAUAGUUAGAACAAGAUGUACAGGAAGAAGAAAAAAGAGAUAAAUGUUUGACACUUCAGCAACUUUACCAUCAUCAACAUGUCUCAAUUUUAAAGUAAUAAUGAAAAGCAAAGGGGAUCCACCUUAUGCCUGAGUUAGCUGAGAUCACCUCUGAGCCACAACAUACCAGCUGCUUACCACCACCAUCCAAUACCACAGAACAGGGUAACAGACAUAAGUAUGCCAUUUAUUUGAAACUGCAGGAACUCUGUAAGCAGAGUGCUGUUAUCUGAACUGGAAUUUGACCAGGAUGUUUACUUACUGAUUUUAACAAAACAAUUGCAGUAUGCUGACCGAGAAAGAAGACAUUUCCAAGGAACAGUAUCAUUCAUGGCCUCCACUCAUGGGUAAAGCUGGAGCUGCAAGAACAAAAUGCCCCAUGACAGAACCACGGGGGUCUCUGCUCUGCUGCAUGAUGGCAGGCAGAGCUCCAGAAGGAAGUGCUCUGGUUUGGAACUGUGUUACAAUUUUCCAGGUUGAAACAGAACCAACAUCAUUCAAGAAUUUGCAAUAUGAGACUUGAGCAUUUUAUUUUGUUUGGUAGCUGAGCUUCUCUUGGGAUAUCUUAUUCAGAGUCAGGUGUCAAGUAUAAGUGAUACCAGCAAAAUCCAAAUCAUCCAACGUUGUACUGUAUCUUCCUUAAGGCAAAUGGGGGUAGAGGCAGAAAGAAGCUUGUUUCUUUUAGUGGGAAAAUAUGUACUAGAAGACUACAGUAAUUUUAUAUUCUUAUCUGUUUACCUUCACCUCAAUAGCAUGAAGAACACGAGAAACCUACCAACUAGCUUGCCUGUAUUAGGAUCUCAGUACAGUAAGUUAUUAUGCCUCACCUACAAUAACCACUUUACUUAGAGCAAAAAAGGGGCAUUUCCUCAAACACGUUCACUUAACAUGAUUGAAUCAUUUUGAGAUGCAGAACCAAAGCCUUGAAAACAUUUACUGAAAAAGUAAAUUUUAAUUUGACUUUAUUAUAAAGAAAAGUUCAAAAAGCUACCAGUUAAUGUUUUCUUUUGAUCGUGUAAUAUUUCAACUAAAAACUAAUUACAACAUUUUAGUUAUUCCAGAUUUAAAAAACAAACAAACAGACCAAAAAAAAACCAAAACCAACCCACAGUGUUCCCAUUGUGCAGGAAGUUUGGGGAUGUCAGCUGUUUUACUGCUCUCACUCACAGAUUUUAAACUGUUGCACCUGGCUGCAGAAUGGGAUUUCUAAGUAGAUGUAAUAUUAGUUGCGACCCUGAAUUUUAGUUUCAGCAACCUAUUAAUGUCAUCUGAGUGAAUAAACACUGUUAGAUGUCAAGAAAGACUCUACUCCAUUGUCUGAGCAAACCAUUUACCAGAAGUUAACAGCCUGCCAGUUACAAGUGAUUUAUAAAUGUUUACCUCACUGUGACUGUUAACAUCAGAUUACAAAAUGUAUAAAAAUCUAUUUGCUUUCUUUCAGCAGUGUUUUUUUAGAGGCUUUAUUUCGAAAUACAGAUCUGACCCAGACCUGUGUAUUUCACAAAAAAUUUCUGAGUUCAAAACUCUACACUAUGUAAGUACAUGCUACAUAAGCAUAGGUAUCCAAUGUGUAUCCUAUGUGGUGUCGAUGCUCCUCACUCACCAGCUUUACAAAAAAACCUGUCUGGCUACAGCAACCUUCAAGCUUAACCUCAGUCAUGCUGCUUGUAAAAAUAAAUUAGGAUCCAUUUUAUGGUCUAAAAUCACUAGCACUCAUUUAUGAAUUCAAUUUCACUAACUAGUUUCUAAACUUGAAUAACUUGUGUGCUCUACUACUUACGCUGAAACAAGAAGCCAAGGAGAUGGGGGAAGGGAGCAGGGAGCAUUGAGCAUUUAAAAGCAGCUUCAUAGACUACAGUUCUUUUUCUUUUUUUUUUUUUUUUUUUUUUUUUUAAGAAAAUUCUUUGUUCAGUAUGUGACUCCAUGUAACUGUCACAUGACAGAAUCGCAGUUACUUACAUAGGAAACUGGCUCCAUGGUUAUUUGGUCCCUGUUGAACAGGGAACUAUGGUUUUGUUUUGGUUUGGUUUUUUUGUCUCUUCAAAAUAAUCCACCUUUUACUUCUACUUUAUACCAUUUCACACCCUCUGUCACUGGAAACCGGGCCGCAUUCUUUCCCAAUGAAUAACAACAGCAACAAAAGAAACUCAAAUUUACAGCACUGCAGGCAGCUUAAGACCACCUUAUGGUUUCAGAUACAAAACAUGACAGUGCCUUUUUAAGUUUCCAAUUUAUUCAGGGGCUAGGUAAAAAAAUAGGGUUAGCUUGGACAUGCCAAACUCAUGUCACAUCCAAGUCACAAGGCCGAGGGAGUCAGAUCUUUAGCUCAACUCCACCCUGCUCAUAAUAUUCAGAUUCCUAUCUGUAACCAGAUUUAGCUCACACACAAUUCAGGAUGUCGCAAUUUGGACGUGGGCCCAUCUUAAUAGGCAAAAAAAUAAAAAAUAAUCUGUUAAUACAACCAGCACGUAAAAAAUGUUGAAGCUUUCUUCAAAUGGAUGAUCAGACAAUGAACUCUUUGAAUGAUUUGAUUCCUGUUGUCUACGUUCCCCAAAACCUGGAAGAAAGAACAUAGCUUAAAAUAACAUUGAAAGAGGAGCGAUUCAUUUGUUUGGUGCACCUUUUCCAUUACUGAGGUGUGAUCUCUUCUUUUGUGCAGUGGUGAUGGUUAGAGAGACCAAUGGGUACUUUGAUAAGAAUUACAUCCUUAUCUCACUAUUGUUAUGAACUGGACAAUUUUCGACAUUACACAUUUACUUUUCAAAUUCAGCAUCGAUUAAAGGCACCUAAAAAGCAAAUCCCUAUCCAGAUGAUGUUUAAACCUAUUGUUAGAAUUGAUAUAACAGAAACGGCCCUUCCUCAAUUCAAGCUUUUUUAAUUUACCUGUCUACUCUACAUAGCCAGGUUUGCUGUUUUGUGGCCAGCAGAUUGUAUCACCUGGUUGUAUGACUGUUGCCACUGUCACUCACAUGUUCUUCCCCAGGUUCAGCAAGAGGGCAUCUACUAACCAUAGGAGCACCAAAACAUCAAACAGGCAUGCAGGAAUGAAAGUCCCAAAGUAUUUUGAUGCAGGUCUUCAGCUCAGCUGGAACUCCCUAUGUAAAUGGCAAAAAAUUCAUGACAAUAUUUUUUAAUUUGAAUGUUAAUAGUAUGCUCUGAUUUGU